rnacentral:rRNA from 1 species
AUCAACUUUCGAUGGUAGGAUAGAGGCCUACCAUGGUGGUAACGGGUAACGGGGUGUUAGGGCACGACACCGGAGAGGGAGCCUGAGAAACGGCUACCACAUCCAAGGAUGGCAGCAGGCGCGCAAAUUACCCAAUCCCGACACGGGGAGGUAGUGACAAUAAAUAACAAUACGGGGUUCUUUUGGAUUUCGUAAUUGGAAUGAGUACAAUUUAAAUCUCUUAACGAGGAACAAUUGGAGGGCAAGUCUGGUGCCAGCAGCCGCGGUAAUUCCAGCUCCAAUAGCGUAUAUUAAAGUUGUUGCAGUUAAAAAGCUCGUAGUUGAAUUUCGGGGUUAGUAGGCUGGUCAUGCCACAGGUAUGCACUGGUCUUACUGAUUCCUCCUUCCUGAUGAGCCGUAAUGCCAUUAAUUUGGUGUUGCGGGGAGUCUGGACUGUUACUUUGAAAAAAUUAGAGUGUUUAAAGCAGGCUAACGCUUGAAUACAUUAGCAUGGAAUAACGAAAUAGGACGUUCGAUCUUAUUUUGUUGGUUUCUAGGAUUGACGUAAUGAUUAAUAGGGAUAGUUGGGGGCAUUAGUAUUCAAUUGUCAGAGGUGAAAUUCUUGGAUUUAUUGAAGACUAACUACUGCGAAAGCAUUUGCCAAGGAUGUUUUCAUUAAUCAAGAACGAAAGUUAGGGGAUCGAAGACGAUCAGAUACCGUCGUAGUCUUAACCAUAAACUAUGCCGACUAGGGAUCGGAUGAUGUUAAUUUUAUAAUGACUCAUUCGGCGCCUUACGGGAAACCAAAGUGUUUGGGUUC